rnacentral:rRNA from 1 species
GAUGAACGCUGGCGGCGUGCUUAACACAUGCAAGUCGAACGGAACGGCCUCUUUGGGGCUACUGGUGUGGCGAAGGGGUGAGUAACACGUACGUAACCUGACCUUGACUUCGGGCUACCUUCAGGAAAGGGGGGACAAUACCGGAUGGGAAUCCUUGCUGCAUGGUGGGGGUUGGAAAGCUUAGGCUGUUUUGGAUGCACCCGCGGCUUAGCAGGGUGUUGGGGGUGUUAGGGCUUACCGCGGCUUUGCCGGGUAGCCGGACUGCGAGUGCGACCGGCCACAUUGGCACUGGGACUGGGCCCAGGCCCCUACGGGAGGCAGCAGUGGGGAAGGGUGCUCUAUGGGCGGGAGCGUGAUCCAGCAGCGCCACGUGCGCGAGGACGGACUUCUGGUUGGAAACCGCAUUCUGCAGGGGCGGAGCUUGUGGUGACGGUACCUGCAGAAGAAGCACCGGCUAACUACGUG